UACGGGGGGGGCAAGCGUUGUUCGGAAUUACUGGGCGUAAAGGGCUCGUAGGUGGCCAACUAAGUCGGACGUGAAAUCCCUCAGCUUAACUGGGGAACUGCGUCCGAUACUGGAUGGCUCGAGUUUGGGAGAGGGAUGCGGAAUUCCAGGUGUAGCGGUGAAAUGCGUAGAUAUCUGGAGGAACACCGGUGGCGAAGGCGGCAUCCUGGACCAAUUCUGACGCUGAGGAGCGAAAGCCAGGGGAGCAAACGGG
rnacentral:rRNA from 1 species